UGUAAUAUUAAAAUGGUUUCCCUAGUUUCU
rnacentral:piRNA from 1 species